GCAGGACCCAGAGGGCCCUCUCCCCCGCCCGCUCAGUGUAAUUCGAGUUCCCUGUCCAUCGACUCCAAGUCCUCUCUCCUGCGCCGCAUGCUGCCUCGCGCUCCCUUUCCUUCCCCCUCUACCCCCUUCCGCGAUUUACUGUUUCCUCGCGCCCAACAGAAAUGGGCGACCGCAAGUCUUACUCUCGCCGGCGUUACAAAGAAAGGAAGGAGGAGACCUGAACAGUACAUCCGGAGAAUCCAGCAAAGCAUACUACGGCAUGAACGUGCAAGUGGACAGAAUUAAAACACAUGCCAGAAACACUAAUGGAUUCUAAACAAGAUGCAGUUUCAUUUCCUGAGCCUAUACGUGAUGUUUUUAACUGUUCUCCAGUUAAUAUGUCUCCAUUUCCAGAAAUCUAACAGGAGAAUCUCUGACUGCUUAACAGAUCACCUAAGCUUGCGAUUUGUGCAAUCCUUUCUAGAGUAAGGGCUCCCCGGCUGCUCCCCGGCCACUGUGUACCCAAAGCAGCGGCUGAAAUAGCCCGGAGUCCAACAGCUCAGCGUCAAGCAGCUCGUGGCAAACGCAGCCGCCGGUCUUGACUGCCAUCGCCCAAGGGGUUCCUCUGGGCUCUCCCGCGAGCCAACAGCCGACCUCUCUCCAGCCUAGUCUGGGAAACUCCAGCCAACCCAGGAUCCCAUUUUGUAGUCCCGGGCAGACCCGAAACCCCUGAAAGAACUCCACUCCAGAAGACGCCAGAACAAGUUCCCACGAAUUUCAUGGGCGCCCUUCACAUG
rnacentral:lncRNA from 1 species